rnacentral:rRNA from 1 species
AUGUACAUUCUUAUAUCAUAGCGUUAAUGCAGUGAAUUAUAUUAUAACUUCACAGUUAAGAACAAUCGGGCUAGAGUAGUACUAGGAUGGGUGACCUCCCAAGAAUUCCUAUUGUUUUACAUG